CAACCGUUGCCUCCUUUCCUCUUCCUUAGAUAUAUAUUUUUUUUUGUUUAUAUCCAUUCACAUUUCAACAUUCUAAUUCCAACGUCCUCCCAAUCUCAUUUCUCUUCUCCAAAUCCCUUCUCAUCAAUGUUAUUUCUUUUCCCAAUUUAUAUAGUGUGCAACAUACCGAUCCUCACUCUCAUCGCCAACGAACCACCAAAACCUCAACGUCUCUCUUCACCUCCUCCCACAUCGCACAAGUUCAUCCACCUCAUUCUGAUCCUCACCCUCUUUUGCUUCUUCAUCCCCUACUUCUUCAUCCAUAUGCGAAAAGAAGUGAUGGAUUAGUGAUUAAAAGUUUGUAACAUAUUCCGAAGUUUUCAGAAUUUCUAUGACCUAACCUGAUUUUCAUCUUUUACAGAUGAUUCUUCUGGUUCUUCGUUUCCAUUCUGCAUACUCGAGAAUCAAAUUGCUCGGUUACUCCGUGUGUAUCUCACAUCCGACGCUUCUUCAAAAAUCCAAAGUUGUUUACUUAUUUUCGCCGAGUUCUUCCGUUACAGCCGUCAAGAGGACGCUAACGAGUUUACCCUGUUCAUGUUUAUUGUGUGAUCUUUGGGAAAGGAAUUUUCAGGAUGAAUCAGAAACGGUUAAUUGGAAAAUGGUUCAUACAAAACCUUGGAGAAGAAUGGUGGUUGUAGUUUGGUUAGUGUAUUUGCGGUCAAGUAUUUUGGAAAUCAUCAUGUUAAGACCACUGAUUCUGAUUGGAAAUUUAUAGAAGGAUAAUAAUGUUUGGAAACUUGCAGUUUGUAUAGUCGAUCAAUGGAUCGUUAAAGAACUCGAUGGGCAUAUGCAUUUUGAAAUAAUUCUAUAGAUAUCAAGGGCAACCAAGUUUGUGUCAUAAUCCAAAAUCGUGAAUACGAAGUUUGGAAACAGACUCUAGAAGCCCAUUGUAGAGUUCUUAGUUGGAGAUUUCCAAGUUGACAGCUUAUAUGGUAAUUUCUAGAGCUCUGCCUUUUCCAAUUCGAAAUAUUAAUUUCAACACCAUUGGGGAGAUCAUUUCUCUUUAAAAUGUAAGUUCUAUAUUUAUCAUGGAUGAACAUUGGGUUUGUUGCUUGAUACUUCAGGAUUAUGCAAAAUAUAAUACUUUAAGCAUGCAUCCUGGUUGGCUUCAGUUAAAUUUAUCUUUUUGGAAGACUUCCAUGUAUAAUUUAUAUAUAACUUCAUUGUUGUGGCCUUUUGGAUUUGCAUAUGAUUUCGAUGGAACUGUCAGGCUAUGGUUUAAUUUUUUGGUUUCACAAUUUCUUAGUUGUGGUACUUCAAAAUUUGUCUUCUUAUUAAUCACUUCACACAAAUUAUAUGGAAAGGAAAUAUUGUGACAAGAAAUAAUAUGGUGAAUUAAUUAUCUUCUUAAAUAUUCUAAAUUUUUUAUAGGUAAAGAAUUUGGUUUCAACCUGUCAUUGCCAAGUGAUUUGGUUUUGUUUGCUGUGAUAUCACAAUAAAGUAGGGAGGGGUUAAUCAGUAACAUAUUGUGGUUUUUCAGGAGAAGGUUAUGGAGUUAUAAAGAGAUAUGCAUAAUGGAAUCAAAUGGUUAUAUGGAAUAAUCGGCAGAUAUAGUAUUUGUAUUACCGUGUCAAGUUGUGUAGCAGCCCAGUCUCGGAGUUAUAUAUGUCCAUCGAUUAGGAGUAGUCAUGAAGUAGCUCUGAGUUAUCUUGGUCCAUCAAUUGGGAGUAGUCCUGGAGUAGCUCUGAGUUAUCUUGGUACAUAAUUGCUACAAUCGAUUGCAUCCUCAACCGCAAUCAGCGCCAGUUACGCUGCACCGCCUCUGCUGAUCGUACACUGCUUGGUC